GAUACUAUCUGGACAGGAACUGUCCUGCCCUAGCUACAUGGGGACCAGAUUCACAAAUGAUAUGACCUCAGUCCUCUGAUACUUGGACUCCAGCACACCCCAUUAGACCUCCUCGGGCCUCUUUACACUUGCUCUGUGUAAAGUAGGUGCCUGGAACUUGCGCCACCUUUUUAGUUUCUCAGCGUAUAUGUUCCAUUGCUGUUAGCAUCCUGCCAUCAUUGGUAAAGCAAGUUCUCAGUUCUCAGCAAGUCUAAUGGAAACACACUGAGUGUAGCUUACACCUCACUUCUGAACUUGGCCCAUGGCAGGGGCAUGCACAGAUGCUUCAGACACUGCAGCUAGAAAGCAGCUCUCUGUAGAGGGGUAGACGGUCAGGCAACCGCACCUGAGAGAGGCUCUUUGCAAGGAGAUGGAAAAAGAAUGAUGCCUGUAUUCAGGACACAAAGAAAAGCAGAAAACCACAUGAUACAAGACAGAUGUACCAAUUUGUUUCUGUGAGAUUUGUUACAGGAGGCGAAAUGAGCAGUAGCAGACGGUACACCCAGAAGAAUACUAAAGAAAUGCUUCAGAUAAGUUUCUUUUUUUAAAAUUCAUGUACAUCUCUUUAUCCUCAACUUCAGUAUGUCAGCUGCCCAUAUUCGCCUUAUGUAAUAGUCUUCAACUUUCUGCAGAAAGAAGCCAACGUUAGAAUAGCUACAAGCUGCCCUGCAGCCAUUUCCCUGGAACUGUUUCACCUUUCUUCAACAACAAAACCCCCCAAGGAGCUCAAACAAGGGCUAAGACACAAACCAACAAAAGUAGGAAUACUCUGAGUUAGGAGAAGGACUCUGAGAUGCUGUGUUCGACAGAAGAUAUGACCCUUGAGAUAACGCAUGAAGAAUACUGGCACCAAAGGGCACCUCAGUGAAAUGGGGACAUGCAAUGUCUCACAAGACUUCCACAAGCAAAAAAUUUUGGUACAGUAUCUGAUUUAUGAAAGUAUUUGGGGGAUAUAAUUUAAAUACACAAGGUCCAGAUCCUCCACUGGUAUAAACUGGCAGCUGAGGAUCUAACCCUCAAAAUAUAGUAGUGACCACUAAUACAUAUUUUCUGAAAAAAACAUUUUUAAUAUACUGUGAUAUUUGCAGUAUUUUAAUGUACUGUAAACAUCCUAGACUAAAACAUCUGGGUGCCAUCAAUGUGGAGUUGGGGUGGCAACUGGUAUAUGUGCUACCACGUAAGAGAGACUGAUUUAUGGAGCAUUACAAAAUAUCAUCAUCACGGGAAGUCACUUUUCCUCUCAGAUGUUCCAAUCAGAAAUUUUGGGCAUGGAUAAAUCAACCAUGGAUGAGUGGAUUUUGUUCAAAAGUAGUUUGCUAAGAAACUUUCCUGAAGAUCUAACAAACAUUCCAAGUUUGAAGGAAAGUGUUUUAAUUGUUCUCAAGUUAUGAGCACUGAAAGCUUUUUCACACAUUCACAGCAGGAUUUCCAGGAAGCUAUCUUUGCUCUAUCAAUGGCUUAGAAAAUCAGCACACAUACGUACAGCAGUCUUUAAAGUUUGUUUUAUGUUCUCAGACAUGCAGAGAUGAGAAAUUAAGAACUGAAACUGAGAAAUGCACAGUAAAGCUGAAGAUUAAUCCUUAACUCUGCCCUCCUGUGAUUAUUCCUUAAAAUAUGGUCUCUCUAUAUCUAUCAGAAUAAAUUAUAUGUAAAAUAAUAUAAAGUAUAAUGGAAUACAAAAUGGAAUUUCUUAUAUAACCACUACUCACAGUAUAGAACAUACAGUUUUCAGAACUGGCUUGAUUUAAGUCUCAAUGAGAUCUAUAAAACAAGUCCACUUUGAAUGUUGAGGUUAUAUUAGGUAUCAGUUAUCAUGAUAAAAGGGUGACCAUAUUUUAAAGCAGAAAUAGGCAGAAGUAUCAUUGAGCUUUUACCAUGACUCUGUAUUAGCUGAUAUCUGAGUGCUUAUCUACCUUAAAACUGCCUUACAUCUAGUUAAUUGCAAGAUUUAAAUAUGAAAGUCUAAAUCCUGCCCCGUUAUAUCUGAAAUUAGAGUUUUGACUCCCUCUUUGAGACUUAGGCUUUAUUCUAAAAUGUCCCCUUCCUGACUUUAUAGGUUAGCCUGAGAUAAGUGAGAGCAAAAUUUGACCCACAGAGUGAUGAAGAGAGUUUGUGUGUAAACACACGUGAGAAUGCCCGCAUGCCCGCACACACAGAGCAAUCCUAAACCAUUCACCAUUACCAAGCCAUGUUUCUUCAGUUAAAAAACCAAGCACACAUACACUGAAAUCCAUUCCCCACACGGAGAGCAAGCGUAAUUAUUUCUCCCUAUGCAAAACAUUAAUAGCAUCAUUUGUUUUCUGCUGAAUACCAUGGGUAGAAGCUGAAGGAAAGCGGGAUCUGCUGCAAGUCCAAAUGUCAAGGAAAUAAAUGGCAUUAGGAUAUAAACCAUAGGAAGCUUUAUGAGUUAUCCAGCAGGGAAGAUAAAGUGAAUUCAUAGUUCAAAGGAUUAAAAAAAAAACGCUUCCAUUUUUUACUCCUUUCUGGUUAUUAAGGUCCCUGCUACAUCCAACUAGUGACUAAAACAGCGACUUGUGUGUCCCUGCCUGUGGUGACAGUACUACCAGCUGCCCUGUGGGUUCUUUCCCCCCCCGGCAUACUAAUACAAUGUACAAACCACUUAAGAUUCCCAGGGGGCAAUUUCAUGAUUGCCGAGGAAAAUGAACUGCUUAGGAUCACCAGCUAGCAACAUUCAAGUUAUGUACCUUCACUUAAAACAAAGCGAAUGAUACACAUAUUCAGUGAAAGACA